rnacentral:rRNA from 1 species
UGAGGAAUAUUGGUCAAUGGACGAGAGUCUGAACCAGCCAAGUAGCGUGCAGGAUGACGGCCCUAUGGGUUGUAAACUGCUUUUGUUUGGGAAUAAUCGACAUUACGUGUAAUGUUUUGCAUGUACCAUUCGAAUAAGGACCGGCUAAUUCCGUGCCAGCAGCCGCGGUAAUACGGAAGGUCCAGGCGUUAUCCGGAUUUAUUGGGUUUAAAGGGAGUGUAGGCGGUUGGUUAAGCGUGUUGUGAAAUGUAGAUGCUCAACAUCUGACUUGCAGCGCGAACUGGCUGACUUGAGUACACACAACGGAGGCGGAAUUCAUGGUGUAGCGGUGAAAUGCUUAGAUAUCAUGAAGAACUCCGAUUGCGAAGGCAGCUUACGGGAGUGUUACUGACGCUUAAGCUCGAAGGUGCGGGUAUCGAACAGG